GUGCUCACUUCAGCAGCAUAUAUACUAAAACUGGAAUGAUACAGAGAUUAGCAUGGCCCUGCACAAGUAUGACCCGCAAAUUCAUGAAGCAUUCCAUGUUUUU
rnacentral:snRNA from 1 species